AGAGGAGGAGGAGGGUGUGUUAUUGAAUGGUGGCUAAAGCCUCCUCGGGACGGCGCUGAGGUGAAACGGGCUGAACCCGACUGCUGUGCCUCCUCUCCCGGUUGGACCCGGUGCCCUAAGCAGCCGAGGAGGGACCCCGGCCGCCCGGCUCGCAGAUGCGAAUAAGAUAUAGAGUCUUAAAUAAAAAUGUGCCUGAUCCAAAAAUAUGCAGGAUAACUUAAGGAAAAAAAGAAAAAGUGGACUCACUGUAUUCCUGGUCAUUUCCAUGUGGGAAUAAACAGAUCAACAUAGAAUAGUAUAGGUACCUUUUUAAUGCUGAAAUGGGCAUGCUAAUUGUGAACUGUGUGGUCAGAAGCUCCUAAAAUAUUCAGUAACUUAUUUACUGGAAUUUAACAAGCUGUGUACUUCAAAGCUUCUUUCACCUCUAAUUAUGUGCAUAAACACUGUGAAUUGUAUUGCCAACUUGAGAUUUGGCACAGUAGCAGCAGUGCUGAAGCAGCCCCCGCCACGAGGAAAGGUACAAACAUGGGCAGGCGACCUGUGAUGGGCCAAGAGACCUCUCUUACCAGGAUUUGCUCACGGUUAUGCUUCUGGCAACUGACAUUUCCAUUUUACUCAAAGCUCCUACCUUUGUGUCAUCAGACAAAGCCCCAUGAGUGGUGGCAGAGCAAACUGUAGCCUUCAUUCUCAAGUUCGAAGAGGAAAAGUUAUUUACAUGCCUAAAUCGCAGAACACGCUGUUCAAAGGUCACUCUGUUACUUAUUGUUUUUAACCACUAAGUUUUUCAAAAAGUCUAUAAGGAAAAAGCACAUAUUUUGGGCAGAAGCAUUUAAUUGGUUGCUUUCUUGUUUUAUUUUCCUUUUCUUAUUGUAUGAUCUGAUUUUUGUACUACCAGAGGAACGUUGAAGAUGGGAUGCUGCUGUCAUUCCUCACCAUGAAUGAUUACUUAAAGGGACCAUCAGAGAUUGCAAGACAAAUCUCUGACCCUCUUUAAGAUUUUUAUGUUCUGAAAAGGAAUGACCUUUAAUUGGUUAGGAUUUUGGAAUUUAUGAUGUAAAGAAAACUAUUGAUUCCUGUGAUGACUGAUCCUUUACUGUUUUUAUCAGACUUUCAACUGAGCAUUUCAUUAACAUUAUUGUUUAUGAAUUUAGGCAAAUAUUUGUUUAUUGCUGCACUGCCAUUUUCCCCCACCCCAUUUUAGACAUAUUUUCCUGAAUGUGAGCUUGAAUUUAGCAACAAGCAGUCUGAUUUCCAGAAAUGUAUUGUUAUCAAAGUACUCUCUACCAAGAUAUAUGAAUGGUGAUAUUAAGAGAAAGCACAAAUAGUGCCUUUAUUCAUUCAGAGAUGAAGCACUGAGAAGUCAAAGUUAUACAGCAGAAAUGAAUAAAUGCAGCUCGAAAUAUUUUUGUAUUCCAAACUACAAGAGCAACUCAAACAAUAAGGAUAACAUAUAAACAAACAAACAAGCAAACAGAAAAGUUGGUUGAUUUCCUUAAAAAUGUUUGGAACUUAAAAGAAACUUUAAAACUUAUAAACAAAAAGAGGAAAGCUGUCAUUUGACAUGGUGAUUAAGGCAGACUGAAGGACUUGUCUCAGAGGCUGUUUAUGCUGCUAUCGCAUGGCAAAACUGUGUGGGGCAUUUAAUCUCUCUUAGUUCUCCUGCUUGUAAGUAACAAGCUGAAGUAAGCAUUACAGCUACUUCAGUCUAGUGUUGUGCAAUAUUCAGAUGUUUCACAAUACAAUAGAAAAGUGUGUCACAGUGUACUUAAAAGUUGCCUGUUAAACUUCAUGUUUUUGAGAUAGAAGAAAAUUUUGGCUACACCUCUUGAAAGAGCUCAUUUGUUAAGGUGGUGGUGGCAGCUUUAAGCUUCUCUGAGAUAUAUUUUCUUAUUGGUUGUUUGUUUUUUAACUGCUUAAUGAGCUAAUUUUUGGUAUCACGUGUGGAAUAUGUAUGUCUCCUAUGACUGACAGGAAGGAUGGUUUCUGCAAAUAAAAAAUUCUCUUUUAGGAGGUCCUGUGAUCAGUGGAAUUCUGUCACCAUCACAAAAACAUACUUAGCAUGGCGUGUAUUUCCCAUUUCAGCUAAUAAACCUAACAUCUUUGUCUGGCCAACAUCUCAA